rnacentral:lncRNA from 1 species
AAACACCGUCUCUCCACCGGUACUCAAUCUUCAUCGCGUUGGCUCUACUUCGACCUCAUGAAUAACCUCUUACGCGGUCCGCUCCCAAUCUCCGCUCGUCCGAUGUCUUCCAUUCCGUUCGAUAACGACCAAGAUGAUCACAUCGCUGAGAAAUCCGAUAACUACAACUCCGAUUACGAGGAAGAGGAGAGGAAUAAUCGCAGUAAAUCAAAGAGUAUAAGCAACAUACUCCGACGGCCGAUCGUUGCUAGGAGAACUAGAAAUUCUAGUGAAGAAGAAGAAGAAGAAGAAGAAGAAGAAGACAAUGAAGACGAAGGAGAAGAAGAAGACAAUGAAGACGAAGGAGAAGAAGAAGAAAGGGACAUUAGGGUUUCUAGGUUUCGGGAGGAGUAUGCGACGGCGGAGGAGGAGGAGGGGAAAGAGAUGUGCUCAAAAUUAGCGGCGGAGAUCCGAUUAUUCGC